rnacentral:rRNA from 1 species
AGCGGCGGACGGGUGAGUAACACGUGGGCAACCUGCCCGUGAAGCGGGGGAUUAACAUUUGGGAAACAGGUGCUAAUACCGCAUAACACCAAAGCACAUGCUUUUGGUUUGAAAGAUGGUUUCGGCUAUCACUUCAGGAUGGGCCCGCGGUGCAUUAGCUUGUUGGUGGGGUAAAAGCCUACCAAGGCGAUGAUGCAUAGCCGAGUUGAGAGACUGAUCGGCCACAAUAGAACUGAGACACGGUCCAUACUCC